rnacentral:rRNA from 1 species
CCUACGGGAGGCAGCAGUGGGGAAUAUUGCACAAUGGGGGAAACCCUGAUGCAGCGACGCCGCGUGAGCGAAGAAGUAUUUCGGUAUGUAAAGCCCUAUCAGCAGGGAAGCAAAUGACGGUACCUGAGUAAGAAGCUCCGGAUAAAUACGUGCGAGCAGCCGCGGGAAUACGUAUGGAGCAAGCGUUAUCCGGAUUUACUGGGUGUAAAGGGAGCGCAGGCAGCCUUGCAAGUCUGAUGUGAAAUACCGGGGGUGAACCCCGGAGCUGGAGUGGAAACUGGGAGGCUGGAGUGGCGGAGAGGCAGGCGGAAUGCCUGGUGUAGCGGUGAAAUGCGUAGAGAUUAGGAGGAACACCAGUGGCGAAGGCGGCCUGCUGGACGAUGACUGACGCUGAGGCUCGAAAGCGUGGGGAGCAAACAGGAUUAGAUACCCGAGUAGUC